AGAAACGCAAAGUGCCAGUAAUAUCGGCCCCUCAUUACUGCUGAGUAACCGAGAAAGCUUUCCAAAAGACAAAGUUGUUCAACGACAACAAAACAUGUCACAAAGUCCGCAUCGUAGUCGGCUCAUCGUGUGUGUUGGUUUUCAUACUGCAUUUAAGAAACAUUCUAAUAAAAAUAUCAAAUAAUAACAUUGUUAUUAACGUAGACAUUAUGCAAUCUGUUUAUAAAAUGUAAUCUAUUCUAUUUUGUACUUUACAAGAUACCUAUAAUUCUAUUCGUGUUCAUUUGUGCUUUAAAUAACAACGUUAAAUUCAAAAUUGUAGUAGAUACAUUUUUUUGUACUCAAAAUAGUGUGUGAAUUAACUUAUCAUUUACAUAACCUUUAGACUAUGUAUUCCAAUAAUUGAGGUUUAGAACAGUUUGGGGUGAAUGCCUGUUGUGUUUACCUUAAUCGUAUUGUAUAUAAAUAAAUUAUGGUAGUAAUUAAUUUAGUAUAUAAUCCCCUGGGCACAAUAGUGUGAAAUGCGACGGGAGCGUGAAAACAUUUUAGCCAUGGUUGAAAUUUUUAGAACAUCAAAACCCAAUCGAUGUCUAGGAAAGAUUGUGGUAUCUGGAAAGAUUUUGAUUGCUUACUGAAUGUUCAGAAGAUAAAUUAUGUUUGUCAGUUUUCAGCGAAAUUGUUAAUAUUUCAUUUUAUCGAUAGUGUAGUGAGAAAUCAUCAAAAUUUUCUCGGAAGAAUUCGUUAGUAUUUUUAUGAUCUACAGCUCAAAAAAUGUCGCGCGCCGAUAGUUCGAUUCAAAUUUCCCACUUCGACUAGCAUUGGCGGCGCUCUUCGCAAUUGGCCAAACUUUCGCGCCAAGGCAAUGAUUCGUCGGCCGUGCAGGCAAGUCGCCGGGCUAUUAUAUUCAAUUUGGAUACGGUUUUAUCAGAGUAAUAGUUCAGAUACUAUAAAGCAGCCCUUUAUUCUUAUAGUUAUUGUAAUAUUGGAUAUCACAACACUUAUUCACUCCAUUUAUUACUAAAUAAGACAUAUUGAUUAUCAAUUCAAAUGUAUAUUAUUAGUACCAUUUCCAAGAUUACGUAUUGAGAGUGUUUAUCUUAACUUAUUAUGUUGUAUCCUCACAAUUUUCGUUCCGAGAAGUUCAACCUUCCUUCUUUCUCUUCUUCUUCAGUUUCUUCUCCCUUCAUCAUCAUCAUCUACCUUUUUCUGAUUCCUGUUUCCUCCUUUCUCGUUCUUCUUCCCUUCGGUUUUUUUGGUGUCUUCUCGUUUCCUCCUCAUGUCUCUUUUUCUGAUUUCCUUCUUAUCUUGAUCUCCCCUUUCUCCUCUUUCACAUUUCUUCUCCUCCCGUACAAGCCAGCUUGGUACUCUUCUAUAAAUUUUUAUGUUUCGUUACAUUACCUCUCCCUUUUUUAUUCCAGGCUUAAUAAGUUUCUCUUCACUAUCUAUCUCUUUCUCAAUUUUUCUAUCCCCAUUCAAUCAACUUUUUUCUCCAUAUUUAUUUACUAUUGGUCCCGAUUUCUCUUCUUCCGUUUCCUAUUUCCUUUACUAUUAAUAUAUAUCCCGCUCCUCUUCUUCAUUUUCAAUUAUUGACCACAAAAAAGAACAAAGUAGAUCAGUAACGUUAAACUUUUCAAAGACAUGAAGUAGGCCUAUAUUCACAGUAUAUAUUUACAUUGAAGUAUAUAAUAAAAGAAUUGCUUCAUCAUCAAA
rnacentral:lncRNA from 1 species